AUUGAACGCUGGCGGCGUGCCUAAUACAUGCAAGUCGAGCGAACACAUGAAGAACUUUCUCCUCUUACUUUAGCGUCGGGCGGGUGAGUGUCACGUGUAGAACCUACCUUUAUGGCUGGGGUUACUUCGUGGAACCGGUGCUAAUUCCGGAUAAUAUUUUCAACCGCAUGGUUCAAUAGUUAAGGGCGUCUUUCCUUUCGCUGAUACCUGAAUCCGCUCGGGAUUAGCUAGUUGGUCAGGUAACGGCUUACCCAGGCAACGAUGCGUAGCUGAUCUGAGAGGGUGACCAGCCACACUGGAACUGAGACACGGUCCAGACUCCUACGGGAGGCAGCAGUAGGGAAUAUUGCGCAAUGGGCGAAAGCCUGAUGGAGCAAUGCCGCGUGUGUGAAGAAGGUCUUCGGAUUGUAAAACACUGUUAUCAGGGAAGAACAAAUGUGUAAGAAAACAUGCACGCAUUGACGGUACCUAAAGAGAAAGCACCGGCUAACUCCGUG
rnacentral:rRNA from 1 species